rnacentral:rRNA from 1 species
CAGUCGCCACGGUAAUGCGUAGGGUGCGAGCGUUAAUCGGAAUUACUGGGCGUAAAGCGUGCGCAGGCGGUUGUGUAAGACAGGUGUGAAAUCCCCGGGCUUAACCUGGGAACUGCGCUUGUGACUGCACAGCUAGAGUAUGGCAGAGGGGGGCGGAAUUCCACGUGUAGCAGUGAAAUGCGUAGAGAUGUGGGGGAACACCGAUGGCGAAGGCAGCCCCCUGGGCCAAUACUGACGCUCAUGCACGAAAGCGUGGGGAGCAAACAGGAUUAGAUACCCCGGUAGUCCCUGUCUCUUAUAC